GACGAACGCUGGCGGCGUGCUUAACACAUGCGAGUCGAACGGAAAGGCCCUGCUUGCCGGGUACUCGAGUGGCGAACGGGUGAGUAACACGUGGGUGAUCUGCCCUGCACUUCGGGAUAAGCUUGGGAAACUGGGUCUAAUACCGGAUAGGAGCCAUCUUUAGUGUGGUGGUUGGAAAGUUUUUUCGGUGUAGGAUGAGCUCGCGGCCUAUCAGCUUGUUGGUGGGGUAAUGGCCUACCAAGGCGGCGACGGGUAGCCGGCCUGAGAGGGUGUACGGCCACAUUGGGACUGAGAUACGGCCCAGACUCCUACGGGAGGCAGCAGUGGGGAAUAUUGCACAAUGGGCGCAAGCCUGAUGCAGCGACGCCGCGUGGGGGAUGAAGGCCUUCGGGUUGUAAACUCCUUUCGCUAGGGACGAAGCUUUUUUGUGACGGUACCUAGAUAAGAAGCACCGGCUAACUACGUG
rnacentral:rRNA from 1 species